CUCCGUAAAUGGCCAAUAGAGGCAGCAUCUCAGUGUAGAUGCUUUUCUUGAUGCUGGGCUGCGUAGGGGUUAUUUGAAACAAGUCUAGUUCAGAUUUGAUGCACUCUUCAGACCCGCAGCGAACAAAAGUCCAUGUUGAUUAAAAUCUCUCUCUUUUACCAGGCAGAGACCAUCUCCUCUUUCGCCCAGGCUUCCUCUUGGCCGGCCCUGCGUGUCAAAGCCCUUCUUUAAAAGGGUUUUGAGGGACCUGUGUGUCACGGGACGCAGCGUAACAGGGGAAAAGAAAAUUCCCCCGGAAAUUGGUGUUCUACAAUAUCCGUGUACAGAUACAAGGAGGUUAAAAGCCCCUGUGAUGUCUGCUAAGAAGGGGAAUUUUUGGACGCUGCACUUGGUACCGUCUUUCACUAACACAAGUAUGGAGGGGGACACAUUCAUAUUGACACAUUUAAAUAAGUUUUAUUAAUCACCUGGUUAACAUAAUCUUUUACAGCCGCCUGUAAAAAUGGACGCCAUUACCCCUACUAUAAGGGAGUCUGACUUGGUUCAUUCUUCCAAUGGGUAAGUUCUCAAAGGCCUCUAGAAAGGCAUUGUUGACCUGUGAGAGAUUUUUCAGAAAAGAAACAGUGUAAGCACCCCCACUGCUUGUUUUAGAUUGAUGCAAUCCCCGGUUAGUUCCUAACCCCAUUACAUCCCAUCCUCAACUGUCCCUUCUUAAUCAUUCAUUUACCUGAGUGACGUCUUUUCCAUUCUCCUUGUCUGCCGGUGACUCUUCCAAGCCAUGAUCGUCUUCCGCCUCUACAGGGGUGGACAAUGAGAGGCCGUCACACUCAUCGGGGUGCCUCACGAGAGGUUGGGUUUCGGGGUCGCGUUCCUGCGUAUCCAUGAACGGUUGAGUCAAAGGACCCCAUUGGAACUGCUGCUGAUGUAGCGUUUUCUCCACACAAGUCCAAAGGUGCUUGAGGCUAAAACAAAGUCUUCAAGUUCUCACGGGAGUGGUAAAGGAGUCCAUGUUUCCAUGAUUUCUAAAACACGCAUUCUUGGUAAAAUAUGGCCUCUUCUGCCAGGCGCUGGGAGUUAUGGGGUGAUGGUGCUGUGCUCUGACUGGCAGAGAGCACUGGGAGGAGUUCUUAGAGGGGUCACACCACUCUCUUCUGGGCGGUUCACCCCGUCCCAGAACCUGCCCUAUUUUGGUCAAAUCUGCUCUCAGGCCGGUCCUGUGCAGCCGAAACCCAUCGUGAUUGGUAGAGGGCGAUGAGAGGAGUUCUCAAAGGGGUCAUACGAACCACUCGCAGACGGGCCACCCUUCCCCCGAGUUCUUCCCUAUUGGUCAAAUCUCCUCUGGGGAUGGUCCCCAACAGCUGAAAACCUGCCUGAUCGGUAGAGGGUGAUGGGAGGAGUUCCUAAAGGAGUCACAGGAACCACUUCUGGAUGGGUCACCCUGCCCCAAACUCCUUCCCGAUUGGUCAAAUCUCCUCUUGGGGCGGAGCUACGGGGGAAGCAACCUAUCCUGAUUGGUAGAGAGCAGUUGGAGGAGUUCUCAGAGGGGUCACAAUGCACAUCUUGCUUCCAGUCAUGUGGCCGCCUUGACCACGGAAGUAAUAUCUCCAUGGGGUGGGACUUCUGUGACAGGUGGGCAGGGUUUAAAGGGUCAAGGGGUGGGUUAGGUUGAUUGAUGGUAGGGCCCUUCCUCCUCAUUGGUAGAGGGAGGUGGGAGGAGUUGUUAGAGGGGUCACAUGACCCACUUCUGAACAGGUCACCCAGCCCCGGAACUCCCCUGAUUGGUCAAAUCGUCUCUCAGGGGGCUUCUACGAGGACGAAACCCAUCCAGAUCGAAGAAGUGUGUGUGGUGGGGUUACUUUGUAAAUUAUCAGCUUGGUCCAGGACUGCCUCUGCUGCUCUCUCAAGUCCCAGUGGUACCUCUGUUUCUAGACGAGAACCGAUCUGAGACAGGAUCUCUCUCCAACAGCCUCUGUGAUAAAGGUAGAAGAUGCAUACACAAAAAUAUUAGCUUCUCAGCAAUGUCCUUGUUGUCUUUAAUUGCUCUCUUGAAUCCACUCGUUCUUUCACA